AGGAGGCCUAAGGAGGUCACGAUUCUGGGCUGCACUGGCUUCAUGAGCAGGGAGGUCAAGCAGCCUGGAAAGGUGUGGGAUUCACUCCAGGGGUCUGGCCAAGUGGUUCCAAGCCAGGCAGUUCGUUUUCUCUAACCCAGUCUCUCCAGUUUAGUUGUGUCUGUGAUCCUUCAGCCCCAUCUCCCCUCCCUGGGGACGAAGGGGAAAAGAGUUGAGGAGGCAUUGCCCACGCCCCUGGUACCUGCCGUGGAGGGAGCGAAGCAGGCCUUGUGCGGUCUUCCCGCGCCCCUCCUCUCCAUUUAACCUUGGAACCGCCCUGCUCAGGAGCCCACUCCCCUGGAGGGCCGAGGGCUUCUUAGGCCAGAACGUCAGGAGGCUGGGGAAAUGGGAAUCGUCUCCUUCCAAUCACAGCAAAGAUAAUUUACUUGCGUAGGACCCUAGGCAUCUCCUAUGGGAAGAGAAGUGAAGACACACGCCCGAGCCAGGCUGCCUCUCCCGCUCUGCAGAAGGGGUGGUGCUCUCCGUGACCUCUCCCAAUCUCCCCUCCCCGGAAUGGCCUGCACGAGAUGUCUGCACCUUUCACUCAUUUAUGAUGCCGGUAAAAAGAAAACCAGAGCUGGCCGUUCUCAAAUCCUUUACAACUGCUCCUCCCGGGUUCUCUGUGUUUGCAGAUGUAAAUGCUAAAGGUCAGUAGGGUUUAAAGCACCUUUUUACCUCCAGCCACUUCCUGGCCCCUUAGAGGCCCAAGCUGGUUCUGAAAAAAGUGUCCAGCAGGGAAAAGCCUGCACCAACCUACCCACCA
ensembl:lincRNA